rnacentral:rRNA from 1 species
AUGCGAGGUGCCGGUUUUGUUCCGAGCGCGGCUCUCUACCCUGACACUGAUGCUUGGAUGAAAGCCCAUUCCGGGUACGCAUACUUCAAGUUGUGCUCAUUGUUCGCUGACAUGCUCCCCUGCCUCGCCCGCCUCCUCCUCCGCCUCCCCACAAUACUCGAGGACCACUACGCCAGUGCCUGGGCCGCGCUCGGGCUCUGCCUCCUGGGCUCCCAGGGUGCGGGCAUCGUGCUCAUCGGCCAGUUGCUUGCCCCCGUGCUCUUCUGCGUGUUCCCCACUGCCGGACAUGGGUUUUAUCAGCAGGGCACUGACCAACAAUGUGAGGUGCCGGUUUUGUGUCGUCUGACAGUGAUGCUUGGAUGA